GACAGAGGGUGCAAACGUUGUUCGGAAUUACUGGGCGUAAAGCGCGUGUAGGCGGCCCUGCAAGUCGGAUGUGAAAUCCCACGGCUCAACCGUGGAAGUGCAUUCGAAACCGCAGGGCUAGAGUCCUGGAGAGGAAGGUGGAAUGCUUGGUGUAGAGGUGAAAUUCGUAGAUAUCAGGCGGAACACCGGUGGCGAAGGCGGCCUUCUGGACAGUGACUGACGCUGAGACGCGAAAGCGUGGGGAGCAAACAGG
rnacentral:rRNA from 1 species